UUAGGAAUCUUCCACAAUGGGCGAAAGCCUGAUGGAGCGACGCCGCGUGAGGGAUGAAGGCCUUAGGGUUGUAAACCUCUAAAAGAGGGACGAUAAUGACGGUACCUCUUGAAUAGCACCGGCUAACUCCGUGCCAGCAGCCGCGGUAAUACGGAGGGUGCAAGCGUUAUCCGGAAUCACUGGGCGUAAAGGGCGCGUAGGCGGUCUGUUAAGUCCGAUGUUAAAUCCCGGGGCUCAACCUCGGAUAAGCGUUGGAUACUGGCAGGCUAGACGGUUGGAGAGGCGAGUGGAAUUACCAGUGUAGCGGUGGAAUGCGUAGAUACUGGUAGGAACACCCAUUGCGAAGGCAGCUCGCUGGACAACACGUGACGCUGAGGCGCGAAAGUGUGGGGAGCAAACC
rnacentral:rRNA from 1 species